rnacentral:rRNA from 1 species
UACGUAGGGUGCAAGCGUUGUCCGGAAUUAUUGGGCGUAAAGAGCUCGUAGGCGGUUUGUUGCGUCGGCUGUGAAAUCCCGAGGCUCAACCUCGGGUCUGCAGUCGAUACGAGCAAACUAGAGUGCUGCAGGGGAGACUGGAAUUCCUGGUGUAGCGGUGAAAUGCGCAGAUAUCAGGAGGAACACCGGUGGCGAAGGCGGGUCUCUGGGCAACAACUGACGCUGAGGAGCGAAAGCGUGGGGAGCAAACAGG